rnacentral:lncRNA from 1 species
AUUUUUAAAAUUUGCAGUACGGUUUUUGUGACAUGAAGUAAUAUCCUGAAGAAAGCUGAUAGAUGCAAACAAAUCUCAGCAAAGUGCUAAGGAAACUGCAACUGGCAAUAAUACUGGGAGGGCUGAAAAUCUUUAUUUUCUCUAGAUCUAAUCUUUAUUAUGUCAAGAUUGUGUGGGAUCAAGAACAAAUCAAAGGAAAAUCCAAUUGGACUUUAAACUAGUGACUUUUGUAUGCUCAAGGGCAAACCUGAUAAUCUAAGAAAACUGAGAAAAAAUAGGCUUUUUUGUACUUUGAAAAAUGCAGUUACUGAGUGUUGCAGGGUUUAAGGAAACGACAUUAUUAUCUCAGCUUGUGCUGAAAUGUUUCCUGUAGUACAAUUCCAAUGAUCUGCUUCCUUUUGCCAUGUCUGAUUAAGUCUUUUCUUUUCAAUAAUAGGGAGCAAAAUAUGUAAAAUAUUCCAUUGUGUAGAAACAAACCAAAAUACAUCAGUGACUGAAUUUUCUAAAAUAAUUAAACAUUGUAGCAAAUCCACCAUCUUUCCCCAUGCCAUUGGUUGUCUGAGCCUGCAACUAUUGAAAUGAAGGGACAGAUGAGGCUGAUGGACAGUUGUCAUCUAAUUCUGACAGAUCUUCUGCCCACCUCCACUGAGGAGAGACUAAAGGGUGUUAUCGUUGCCCUGAGUUAAGCUAAAUCCAUGACACCAAAUGGAACCUACAUAAUGUACAGCAGUUGGGUUUCACCAUCACCUCCUAUCUCAUUUUCUUUUCUACCCUCCUCUUAGAGGUCUUUUUGUGACCUUUGUGUGUGGGUGUUUUCCUAGGAGGUGUGACUUAGCUGAUUAAGGCUGUGGCAUGUCUCGUUUCCCUGCUGUGAACCCAUGACUAAAAGGGCAGCUAAAAGCAGCAUUGUAGUCAUCAGAUGCUGCUUGGAGUUUGCCAGGCUUUGGAGUGGCUGAUAAGACCAUGUGCUGGGUCUGUCUUCUUCCAAGUGCAAGUGGGUGACACUGCAGUACAGUUUUCCUUCCUUGCUGAGGGAUAUGCUGGCCUGUUAGAAAUGUUGGAACUGAAUGAUGCUUCAGUCAUCCCUUGGUGUGAGAACACUCGCUUUACUCAGACCAAAUCAUCCUGCCCUGAGCUGCCCUUUUCACACUGUGAUUACCAGGAGCUUAGCCCAGCUGAACUAGAGUUAUAAAAUCUCCAAAGCUAUUGAAAUGGCCUCAGUAACCUCAAAGACAAGAUGAUCUUAGGUGGAUCAUCUAAGUGGAGUAAGAGUGAUUCUCUUGCUUUUAAUGAAGUAAAAUCUUACUGCUCGGAGUGACUCACUAACACCACUUUUCAAUCGUUACUUCAUGGAUACAGUUUUUAGGUGAUUAUUUUGCUGUAUCAUAAGGCACACAAUGCAGUGUCAAAUAAACAUACUUUACAGGCUGCA